CCUCCUUCGUCUUGCUGUUGCUGUUGCUGCUGCAGCUUUCCCUCCUUCCUCCUCCGCCCCCUCGGAUCCGCAGGAGUCGAUUCAUUUCUCCUCCCCCUUCCACACCCUUCUCCUUCUCUUCCCGGCUGCGCCACGCCGACACCGCCACCGCCAUCGUCCGCGCGGCGACGACAGCUCAGUGCUCACCAUGGGCGGGGCGGCGUCCUCCACCGGCAACCCUUCGCCGGAGGCGCAGGAGCAGCGGGAGCAGGAGGCCCUCGCGUCCGCCUCCCUCGCCCUCCCGCUCCUCCGCGCCGCCUUCACCCGCUCGGCCGCUUCGCUGGCGGAGGCGCUCUCCGUGCCCCACGGUGCCUCCUCCUUCCGAUCCGACUCGCCGGUGCCGGUGCCCCCGCACUUCCAGGGCCUCGUUGCUCGCCUCGGCUCCGCCAUCGCCUCGCUCUUCUUCUCCGACCUCGGCUCCGCGGGGGACGCCGGGUGGCUGGAGUUUCUCAGGGGAUUCAACCGCUGCUGCGCGCGCGUGCCGGCGUCGCAGUCGCUGGCGCUGGUCCUCCGCGUGUACGCCGCGGCCUGCGCCGAUGCGGGUGCCCCCUGCGGCCUGCAGUUCCACCCGGAUGAGGACGGCGAGGGGAAAGUCGUGGGGGAGCUGGCGCCGGGGGAGAUCGCGGUGUUGCUCUGGAUGUGCUGGGUCAUGGCGUGGAGCGGUUCGGCUCCGAGGGUUUCGGGUGGUCAGGAUGAGGCCAAGGGGGAACCCGUGGUGCUCCCGGACGUGACGCACCUGGUGCUGUCGGCCCUUGUGUCGGCGGGCGCCGUCGCGGAUGACGCUGGUGUUUGGGGCUGGGAGGUCUCCGGUGGUGGGAAGGGAGUGAAGGUACAGGAGUUCACGUCGUGGGUGCUGUCCACGGCAUCUGGGCUUGGCAACUACCUCUCGCGUUAUGUGCAGGAAAGGUUCCGGUCAUGCGCAGCUGAUCCAGUAGAGGAGCGUCCUGUUUCAACUGGUAACACGUCAUCUUGUAACCCUGAUGUAUAUUUAUUAACACGUGGGAAGGCAUGGGCAAUCUCUCUCAGCCUCAGAAACACGUUGAGUGAAAAAAUUUUGUCAGCAUCUGUCAUUGGAAUGGAUACAGAAGACCUUCUUUAUAGGUCGUCAGUUCAUGGAAAAGGGCUGAGCCGGUUUUGGUCUUGUGUUGAGGGAUAUAAAGGACCAGUGGUAAUUCUACUCUCAGCUUUCUCAAGUAGUGGUGAUGCUGAUAGAAGAUGGGGCAUUGGUAUAUUAACAGAGGAGGGCUUAGAGAACAAAGACACCUUCUAUGGUAGCUCUGGCUUCCUGUGCUCGACAUAUCCAAUAUUCCGCAUGCUUCCGCCAUCUGGUAAGGAGAAAAACUUCACAUAUUGCCACCUCCAUCCUCAGAUAAGGGUCUAUGAGGCAAAGCCAAAGCCUGUUGGUUUAGGAUUUGGUGGAACAAUUGGAAAUGAGAGGAUCUUUCUAGAUGAGGACUUCUCUAAACUUAUGGUUCGCCAUCAUGCUGUUGAUAAGACUUACCAACAUGGCUCUCUCAUUCCCAAUCAGGGCUACUUGCCUGUCGAGGCUUCAGUACUUGAUGUUGAAGUAUGGGGCCUUGGUGGAGAAGCAACGAGACGGCAACAAGAUGUGUACAAGAAGAGGGAGGAUAUUUUCUCAGAACAGCGAAGAAAGGUUGAUCUCAAAACAUUUGGCAAUUGGGAGGACUCUCCAGAGAAAAUGAUGAUGGACAUGAUUUCUGAUCCAAAUGCAGUUCGACGAGAGGACCGUUGAAUAUUAACUUCGGAGUAUAUGUUUAUAUAGCUGCCAUACAGAUUUGAACAUGGAAAAUGGACGAUCUUAAGGUUUCAUUUCUCAUAUCUUGGAGAUAUAUAGAGGUACCUGCACAUGUUUUCUCCGUUUGAUGUUGAGCGAUUUGGCUCGGCAACACAUCAUGUCAUCUGGUGAUUUUGGAGAAUGGUAUCACCUGAGUUCGCCAAGGAAGUUGUCAUCACAUGAUUAGUUCGCCGUCUUCCUCCCUCCCAUGUCUAAAGACUGAACAACAUAUAUCAGUUGACAGAAACUUGAAAAAUAUAACUUCAAUUUAUAGGAAAACCAUAAGAUAUCUAUAGGAAAUUUACUAUUUAGCCUCUUGACAUAAAAGUUGGGGACAGCAAUAAUUUUGUGAAAUUCCCAUGUAAUGACUCAAGACACGAAGAUUUUGGACAAAAGUUAUAAUGA